GACGAACGCUGGCGGCGUGCUUAACACAUGCAAGUCGAACGAUGAAGCCUAGCUUGCUAGGUGGAUUAGUGGCGAACGGGUGAGUAAUACGUGAGUGACCUACCUUUGACUCUGGGAUAAGCCUGGGAAACUGGGUCUAAUACCGGAUAUGACCAAUCUCCGCAUGGGGUGUUGGUGGAAAGCGUUAUGGAGUGGUUUUAGAUGGGCUCACGGCCUAUCAGCUUGUUGGUGAGGUAAUGGCUUACCAAGGCGACGGCGGGUAGCCGGCCUGAGAGGGUGACCGGCCACACUGGGACUGAGACACGGCCCAGACUCCUACGGGAGGCAGCAGUGGGGAAUAUUGCACAAUGGGCGCAAGCCUGAUGCAGCGACGCCGCGUGAGGGAUGACGGCCUUCGGGUUGUAAACCUCUGUUAGCAUCGAAGAAGCGAAAGUGACGGUAGGUGCAGAGAAAGCGCCGGCUAACUACGUGCCAGCAGCCGCGGUAAUACGUAGGGCGCGAGCGUUGUCCGGAAUUAUUGGGCGUAAAGAGCUUGUAGGCGGUUGGUCGCGUCUGCUGUGAAGGCUGGGGCUUAACCCUGGUUUUGCAGUGGGUACGGGCUAACUAGAGUGCAGUAGGGGAGACUGGAAUUCCUGGUGUAGCGGUGGAAUGCGCAGAUAUCAGGAGGAACACCGAUGGCGAAGGCAGGUCUCUGGGCUGUAACUGACGCUGAGAAGCGAAAGCAUGGGGAGCGAACAGGAUUAGAUACCCUGGUAGUCCAUGCCGUAAACGUUGGGCACUAGGUGUGGGGGACAUUCCACGUUUUCCGCGCCGUAGCUAACGCAUUAAGUGCCCCGCCUGGGGAGUACGGCCGCAAGGCUAAAACUCAAAGAAAUUGACGGGGGCCCGCACAAGCGGCGGAGCAUGCGGAUUAAUUCGAUGCAACGCGAAGAACCUUACCAAGGCUUGACAUAUACUGGACUGCGUCAGAGAUGGCGUUUCCCUUCGGGGCUGGUAUACAGGUGGUGCAUGGUUGUCGUCAGCUCGUGUCGUGAGAUGUUGGGUUAAGUCCCGCAACGAGCGCAACCCUCGUUCUAUGUUGCCAGCACGUGAUGGUGGGGACUCAUAGGAGACUGCCGGGGUUAACUCGGAGGAAGGUGGGGAUGACGUCAAAUCAUCAUGCCCCUUAUGUCUUGGGCUUCACGCAUGCUACAAUGGCCGGUACAGAGGGUUGCGAUACUGUGAGGUGGAGCUAAUCCCUAAAAGCCGGUCUCAGUUCGGAUUGGGGUCUGCAACUCGACGCCAUGAAGUCGGAGUCGCUAGUAAUCGCAGAUCAGCAACGCUGCGGUGAAUACGUUCCCGGGCCU
rnacentral:rRNA from 1 species